rnacentral:misc_RNA from 1 species
UGUGGAUACUGUUGUCUGGAAACGACAACAACCCGCAGGCUACUGCCAGAAUCCAGACCAACAUAUUUUUAUAAGUCGCAAACUGCGGCGAGCACUCCUUUUUUUACAAAAAAAAAAAAAAAUCUUUCUACCUCAGAAAAACGAAAGGCCGUCCUUGAUCCUACCUUUAUCUCUUCCUUUCAAAUUUCUAAAAAUUCACCUGUGCUUUAAUAAUUACUAAACAGCUACAUUAAAUGGCAUCGUCAUCGGCCAGCGGGGAGCUUUCUAGCAAAACCAUUCGCCGCCGGCGCUGGUCGUGUUAGCUGCAGGUGGUAUUUCGAAAUGCCAUAGCCUACCCACAGCCUUUACCAUAUGUUUUCUGCAUAAAAACUCCUCCGCGUAAACCUUUUCCACCUUCCUGUCUAUGUCAUGCAGAAACACAUGCGUCACACCGGAUCCUUUCCUUGCUCUCGCCAUCACUGCUGCAGAAAAUAUCGCAGCCAUUCUCCCUGGUGCCUCUGCAAAGUACCCUCGUGGCGCGUCGAUCAUGAUCAGAUCCCAUUCCUUGUCGUACACCGCGUCCGGUAAUCCAGUCAGUGCUAGCUUGCAGUUAUAGUUGCCGCGUAUAUAUGCUUUACUUGGUGAACAGUAUGGUUCGCUCCGGUAGGUGGAGAGAAGCUGGUCUGCCUCCUGGAGCUGCGUCCGGUACUGGACUGUGUGAGCCUGGAGUGUAGGAGCGUCCUUGAGGACGGUCUGCACCCACUUGGGGUCUUCUUCGAGGAAUAUGGUGGUGCCACGUGGAUUCAGCGAAUUCCACAUGAGGGAAUCAUGGCCGAGACCGAAGACGAGGAAGUUGCAAGGAGCGAGAGCCUUGAGGACGUCGAAGGUAACGGAGAUUUCACCCAAUGAUUGCUGUGGGACGAUCCGUGAAGUGGCGUAGUGGACGAUGGCUUGGAGCUGGAUCGGCGUGGCUGCAUACUCCGCCGUAGAACGGGCUCUGGAGCUGGCCAAGGAGCAAAGGAAGGUAGUGUCGCCAGAGCGCAUGAAGCUGGAUAGGAUCAGCCCGCCGAUUAUUAGACCGGCGAUGGCCACGCCUAGGAGCCACGAUUUCUCGGGCAGAUAAUGCCGAUUCUUCAUUUCUUAGAAACUUUUUUCUAGGGAAUAAUGUUUGGUGUUCGUAUCUGAAAAUGAAAUGAUAGAGUCUGUCUUGUGGG